rnacentral:miRNA from 1 species
CCUCGGCCCGGCUGCAGUUGGCGAUCUCCUCGUACUGCGCCUUGACCUCCGCGAUGAUGCUGUCCAUGUCCAGGGAGCCGCUGUUGUCCAUGGACAGCACCACAGAUGUGUCCAAGAUCUGGGACUGUAG